GCCACUUCUCUCUCUCUUCUCUCUCUCUCUAGCUGGUGGAAACUCUAAAUUACAAGAAGAACGAUUCAAAUUCUCAAGCUGCUUCGCUUAUAAUUCAAGAUGAUGAGCUAAACAAACAAAUCAACCAGGUAUAAUCCACUUUGCUUCUUUUGUUUUCAGGAUUUUGAGUUAAUUGGCGCAGAGUGUUGCUAUGUUAAGAGGAAUUGAACAGAGCAAUAUUACUACUAUGUAUAUUUUUAUUUGUUUAUUUGAUUUAACUUGACACAAAGUUUAAAAUAAUAAAUACUAACACUUUAAAAUUUUGUGGUCUUAAAUUAAACACGCUUAUUGUCAUGGACGGAGCAAAAUUGAAGGGGGAAUUGGAAAAAUGGAUGGGGAAGAUUGAUUGCUUAGUGGGUUAGCUUUGUACUUGUAAAGUAGUUAAGUAUGAAGUAGUAGAUAGAUGAACAUUCAAGUAUACGUGUAAAUUUGAGACAAGUCUUCCUUUUUUUUUUUUUCUAAUUUAGAAUUUCAAGAAUAUGAUAAGGAAGGUAUUGCUGGUUAAUGACCCUUCUCAAAUUAUUUACUAAUAGUAGUAGUAUUUUCUUUUUUUCUCAAAGAAAAUGAUUGGUAAAGCUGAAAAGAUGAAUUAUUAGAGAUCCCGAUUAGUUGGACUCCCGUUGAAUAGUAUUCGUGUACUCGAUUUAAAAGUGGGAUAAUUGUUGCAUCUUAGUUAGGACACCAGUGUUUGGUGACUCGCUCUUGUUAUUCAUUUCUUUAUAUGGACCGAGAAGUCCACAUUAUCAUAAUGAUCUUUUGAUAACACGUUAUUUCCAAAUUGUAUACUGACAGUAGUGUUACUAUAUGCCCUUAUGGGUACUCUACAGAGACUUGUGAAGGAACUAUUUACGCUUACGCAGAGUAUAGUUAUCAUGUUGAUAGAUUGAGCUAAUCAAAGAUUGAAUUUUCUCCCUCUUUAGAAGCUUUAAAGAUGGUAACGCUGAAAAUAAUUUCUAUGGAGGACAUAGUUACAUGAACUAUAGUUGACAUGUGUAAACAUGGUCUUAUGCAUGAGUGGUUCAUUGUGCUGAUAGUAGCACAAGAAUUUUGGUAGAGAUGAUCUUUACUUAGUUUUUCCAGUUCAGCCGUUUUGGCUUUUGUCUUGUGAGCUGAUGUUUGCUGGAUACUUUGCAAAGUAAAAUUCAAUCUUUGCUCGUUUGUUUGCGUUAAUCCUCUGCUUGACUGGUUGUGUCACUAUAAUAGUGGCUUAUAGGCCAUCAUGCAUCUCUUUUGCAUGUGUUCAUAUGUUAUGUUGCUCGAACUUUUCAAAUAUUAUAGUGGGUGCUUGUAGAAUUCUCCGAAAGUAGUGCAUUUUUUAGGAUUCGACAUAGUACCUUCUCUUAUUCGGAUGACUUGAGCUUAUCUUGGUAGUACAGUUAAGUAACUGUUAAAAGAACCUAAGUUGUUCUCUUUACACUAAAUAAAGUGAUAUAUUAUUGAUGUUAACCUUUUUCUUUAUUUGUGAUAUAAUAUUUCCAUCAUCAUGUUUUAUGAACAGGUUGGGUUGUUAUUUCUUGAAAAAAGUUGGUUUUUAUUUUUCGAUGAUCGCUUGCCUCUUUCUCGUCAACUUAGGCCAAACAAAGGUUAGUUUAUUUCUCUCUAUUUACUUAGAGUGAAGUCUUUAAAUGUAAUGUUAUGGAGGGAUUCUUUGUCGUAGAAGGCUUUUAAAGCCAUAGGUUUUGUGAUGAUUAUAUGGUGUGAGAGGGACAAGCGACGCCUCUACUUAGUACCUUUAUUAAAUUUAUUAAAUUAUUUGACUUGUAUUACAACUGAGAAUGUGAACUAGUGAUUAGAAAAUGGUUAAAUGUGGUGACUUGAAAUAAUAAACUUAUAACUUGAAAAUUGUUACGUGUACUUACUUGAAAUUUUGAACUUGUGACUAAAAAAUGGUUGUGUAGUCACUUGAUAUGUGAAGUUAUGAUUUGAAAAUGAUUAGGUAUACUUACUUGAAAUUGUUAACUUGUGACUUUAAAAUGGUUAAAUGGCUACUUGAAAUUGUGAACUUGUGACUUAAAAAUGGUUAAAUAUAGCUACUUGAAAUGUGAAGUUAAUGACUUGAAAAUGCAUAAGUGUAGUUACUUGAAAUUGUGAACUUGUGAGUUGAAAAUGGUUAAGUGUAGCUACUUGAAAUUGUGAACUUGUGACUUGAAAAUGGUUUAGUUACUUGAAAUUGUAAACUCGUGACUAGAAAAUAGUUAAGUGUAGCUACUUGAAAUUGUGACCUUGUGACUUGAAAAUGGUUAAGCGUAGCUACUUAAAAUGUGAAGUUAAUGAUUUAAAAAUGAUUAAGUAUAGUUAGUUACUUGAAAUUGUGAACUUGUGACUUUAAAAUGGAUAAGUGUAGCUACUUGAAAUAUGAAGUUAAUAACUUGAAAAUGUUUAAGUGUAGUUACUUGAAAUUGUGACCUUGUGACUUGAAAAUGGUUUAGUGUAACUACUUGAAAUUGUGAACUUGUGACUUGAAAAUGGUUAAGGGUAGCUACUUGAAAUGUGAUGUUAAUAACUAGAAAAUGGUUAAGUGUACUGAAGUCAAUGACUUGAAAAUGCUUAAGUGUAGUUACUUGAAAUUGUGACCUUGUGACUUGAAAAUGCUCAAGUGUAGUUACUUGAAAUUAUGAACUUGUGACUUGAAAAUGGUUAAGUGUAGCUACUUGAAAUAAGAAGUUAAUGACUUGAAAAUGCUUAAGGGUAGUUACUUGAAAUUGUGACCUUGUGACUUGAAAAUGAUUAAGUGUAGCUACUUGAAAUAUGAAGUUAACGACUUGAAAAUCCUUAAGUGUAGUUACUUAAAAUUGUGAACUUAUGACUUGAAAAUGCUUAAGUGUAGCUACUUGAAAUGUGAAGUUAACAACUUGAAAAUGCUCAAGUGUAGUUAAUUGAAAUUGUGAACUUGUGACUUGAAAAUGGUUAAGUUGUAGCUACUUGAAAUGUGAAGUUAAUGACUUGAAAAUGCUCAAGUGUGUUACUUGAAAUUGUGAACUUGUGACUUGAAAAUGGUUAAGUAUAGCUAUUUGAAAUAUGAAGUUAAUGACUUGAAAAUGCUUAAGGGUAGUUACUUGAAAUUGUGACCUGGUGACUUGAAAAUGGUUAAGUGUAGCUACUUGAAAUAUGAAGUUAACAACUUGAAAAUGCUUAAGUGUAGUUACUUGAAAUUGUGAACUUGUAACUUGAAAAUGCUUAAGUAUAGUUAUUUGAAAUGUGAAGCUAAUGAGUUGAAAAUGCUUAAGUGUAGUUACUUAAAAUUGUGAAGUUGUGACAUAAAAAUGGUUAAGUGUAGCUACUUGAAAUGUGAAGUUAAUGAGUUGAAAAUGCUUAAGUGUAGUUACUUGAAAUUGUGAACUUGUGACUUGAAAAAGCUUAAGUGUAGUUAGUUGAAAUUGUGACUUUGUGACUUAAAAAUGGUUAAGUGUAGCUACUUGAAAUGUGAAGUUAAUGAGUUGAAAAGUCUUAAGUGUAGUUACUUGAAAUUGUGAACUUGUGACUUAAAAAUGGUUAAGUGUAGCUACUUGAAAUGUGAAGUUAAUGACUUGAAAAUGCUCAAGUGUAGUUACUUGAAAUUGUGAACUUGUAACUUGAAAAUGCUUAAGUGUAGCUACUUGAAAUGUGAAUUUAAUGACUUGAAAAUGCUCAAGUGUAGCUACUUGAAAUAUGAAGUUAAUGACUUGAAAAUGUUAAGGGUAGUUACUUGAAAUUGUGACCUUGUGACUUGAAAAUGGUUAAGUGUAGCAACUUCAAAUAUGAAGUUAACGACUUAAAAAUGCUUAAGUAUAGUUACUUGAAAUUGUGAACUUGUGACUUAAAAAUGCUUAAGUGUAGCUACAUGAAAUGUGAAGUUAAUGACUUGAAAAUGCUUAAUUGUAUCUUCUUGAAAAUGAUUUAAGUGUAUUCACUUGAAGUGUGAACUAAUGACUUGAUUUUUAUAUGUUUUAAUGUAAACUUGCAUAUUAUUAAAUAUCUAUAUUUUGUAGAUGGAUCAUCAUUUGUGGAUGUAUGAUAUGAAUUAUGAAAAUGUUGGUGGUUUAAAACCCCAAUAUCUUGAUGGCGUUAGAGGUUUUAUCAAUCAUGCAAUGUCACUAGAUCUAUUUCAAAAAAAUGGAGUGGUUAGGUGUCCUUCCAGUUUAUGUAGGUGUUUGAGGUUUUUUUAACCAGAUAUAGUUAUGACUCAUCUCUAUCGUAAUGGAUUUAAGCCAAGAUACUUUGUGUGAGUCGAUCAUGGAAAGAGAUGGUUUGAAUGGUAUAUUUUAUAAUUCAUUGCCUGUGGAUAAAUAUGACAUACUUGUACAUGGUCGACAUGCUAGGAUUCAACAUGCUAAAGUUCAACAUAGGGUACAACACAAUAGGGUACAACAUGAGGAUAGGAUUCAUGAAAUGGUCUAUGAUGCUUUUGGUAUUGGGGAUGGAAUGGAACCCGAACAAAAUUUAGAAGAAGAUCCCAAUGAAGAAGCAAGAGAUUUUUAUCAUUAAUUAGAAGAGGCUAGUCGCCCACUAUGUGAAGGGAGUCUGCAUUCUGCUUUAUCUGUUGCAAUUAGAUUACUGAGUAUCAAAUCUGAUUGGAAUGUUGCUCAAGCUGCUAUGGACUCUAUAGUUGGUCUUUUGGUUGAACUAGUAAAUCCGGAGUUGAACAUACCUCAUAAUUUUUAUCAAGAAAAGAAAUUAUUUUCUAAGUUGGGAUUGUCAUAUAAUAGAAUCCAUUGUUGUAUAAAUGGUUGUAUGUUGUUCUAUAAGAAUAAUGCUGAAUUAGAAAAUUGCAAGUUUUGUGGACAUGCUCAUUGUAAGCGGACUCCUGGUGGAAAGAUGGUUUUGAUUAAGGUGAUGCACUAUUUACCUCUUAUACCUAGGCUAAAAAGGUUGUAUGCUUCGAUGAGUUCUGCCCCACACAUGAAAUGGCACCAUGAAAAUAAAAGGCCACCAGGUGUCUUGUCUCAUCCAUCAGAUGGAGAAUCUUGAAAGCACUUUGAUAGAACUUAUCCUGAUUUUGCUAGUGAACCAAGAGUUGGACUGGGGUUGUGUGCAGAUGGUUUUACACCAUUCUCUAAUUCUGGCACACCUUAUUCUUGUUGGCUUGUAUUUAUUACUCCAUAUAAUCCCCCACCUGAAUGUUCAUGAUAAGUCCCUACAUAUUUUUAAGUUGUAUUAUUUCAGGUCCCCGCAAUCCAAAAAGUUUGAUUGAUGUAUAUCUCCAUCCAUUGAUAGAUGAGUUACUAUAAUUAUGGCAUGAAGGUGUUGUGACAUAUGAUAUAUCAAGUAAGCAGAAUUUUGUUAUGAGUGCCAAUUUAAUGUGGACUAUUAGCGAUUUUCCUGCAUAUGGGAUGCUGUCUGGUUGGAUGACUGCUGAAAAGUAACGAUGUAUAUCUCCAUCCAUUGAUAGAUGAGUUACUACAAUUAUGGCAUGAAGGUGUUGUGACAUAUGAUAUAUUAAGUAAGCAAAAUUUUGUUAUACGUGUCAAUUUAAUGUGGACUAUUAGCGAUUUUCCUGUAUAUGGGAUGUUGUUUGAUUGGAUGACUACUGAAAAGUUAGCUUGCCCAUAUUGAAUGGAAAAUAGUAAAGCAUUCACUUUAAAGUAUGGUCGAAAAAAUUCUUGGUUUCAUUGUCACCGCCAGUUCUUACUAAUGGACCAUGAGUUUAGAAGGAUGAAAAAUGCGUUCUGAAAGAAUAAGAUUGAGAAUGAUCUGCCCCCUCCAUUACUGUCAGGACAUCGUAUUUGGGAGAGAUUUUGUAAUUUGCCUAAAGUUAUAGAUGGUCCACUUUCUAGACUUCCUGAAUAUGGUGUUGAACAUAAUUGGACCAAACAAAGCAUAUUUUGGGAGUUGUCGUUUUUGGGGACAAUAAACUAAGACAUAAUCUUGAUCCGAUGCACAUUGAAAAAAAUUAUUUUGAUAAUUUAUUCAACACAGUCAUGGAUGUUAAGGGCAAGACAAAAUAUAAUUCAAAAGCUAAAAUGGAUAUAAAGAAGUAAUACAAGAGAAAGAAAUUGUGGUUGAAGGAAAAAGAAAAUGGUAAAUUGUUUAAGCCCAAGGCGAGUUUUUCAUUCACAUUACAUGAGAAACGGGAAAUAUGUGAGUGGGUUAAGAAUUUGAGGAUGCCCGAGGGCUAUGCUUCGAAUUUAGAAAAAUGAGCGGAUAUGGAAAAGAGAAGUUGAUUGGUAUGAAAAGCCAUGAUUGUCAUGUUUUUAUGGAAACCUUGAUUCCUAUCGCAUUUAGCCACCUUCUUGAGAGGAUAUGGAAACCAAUCACAAAAAUAAGUUUGUUCUUCAAAGAUUUGUGUUCGGGAAAGUUGUUGGAGAGUAGUUUGGAUAGAAUAGAGCAGAAUAUUCAUGUCAUCGCUACUAAGCUGGAAAAGAUCUUUCCAUGUGGAUUUUUUUAUGUGAUGAAGCAUCUUCCAAUUCACCUCAUGGAAGAGGCACGCGUAAUGCCCCAAAUCUGGUACCCAGAAUGUUACACGGUACUCAUGACCCCAAAGGACCACAAGGUAACCCAUGACUGAUAUUUAUACCUGUAUACUGCAUAAAAUACUUUAUAAUGCGGAAACAUGAACAGAAAGGCCAUAAGGUUCAAAACUGAGACAUAGUAUCUGAUAAAAAUGUAACAUCAUCGAGGGGUAUGAAAUACCCAAAACAACUGAAAUAAGCUAUCUAAACAUACUGUGGUCUGAAAAACCUCUAAAAUGUGACUGUCUAAAUAAGGAGUUGAUGGGACAUGUCCCCAACUAGCUCCAACUAAUAAACUAAAUACUGAGAUAAUAAAAUAAUGAUCAUGUCCUCGAAAUAUGAGGACUCACUGCUAACUCUGACAGCUGAGACUGGAAUCUACUGAUACUCUGGAGCUCGUGUCUCCAAACCUAUAGUAUAAGACAUCAUAGCGCAAAUGCGUCAGUACUUUGAAUGUACUGGUAUAUAUAUAAUGUAGGUUGAAUACAUGGGGUUCAUAUGCAUGAACAAUAACAAUAGCAGACUGACUAUCAUGAGCGCGAGAAUACAUGCAUGAGACAUAAUAACUGACACUGAUAUUAUGAUAACAAGAUUACUGAAUCUGAAUACUGAUAACAUGACAUACUGAUAACUGAUAUAACUAAUAACAUAAGUGACUGUAUCUGAUAGUCCUAAAUCUAAUGGAACUAACUCAGUCCUGUACUGUAUCUGAGUUGACUGUAUCUGGCAAUCCUAAAAUCUGAAGAACUAUCUGAGUUUUAUUACUGAGGCUGAUUGACUGUGUUUGACAGUCCAAAUUCUGUAACAUAGAACUAUGGGAAGUAUUAAUCUAACCAACAUGUACCUAAUAUGCCAUUAUGGCUGAGUUGGGGUCCAAUCUGUAACCCCAAUUGAAAGGGUGUCAAUACCGCACCACUGGUAAGGACAAGCUGUGAGUGACCCUCAUAUGAAUAGUGUCCCCAAAAGAGAACGGUGGGGCCCUUAGUUAACAGUGCUUAUCCACAUCAUCAACCCUAAUCGGAAAGUGUUGAUAUCUCAACCUAUGCUGGUUACAUAGUUCUGAAAUGCAAGGAUAACUUCUAAGAAUCAUACCCUCAUCUGAUAGUGUGUGCUCCCAUCCUUGACUUCACUCGGUGCUAAUUUCUACUCCCAUCUGAAUAGACUCUAAACAUGAUUUACUGAACUGAACAUAGACUGAGUUACUGAAUUCUGUUGAGUAACGAAAUACUACUGAUAUCUGACAUAGCUUGACUGAGAGUAUCGUGAAAACAUGACAUGGCUCUAGGCACACAACUAAUGUUUUGGGUACGAGUACCCCCAGGACUCGAUGGAAGGAAACUGACCAAGCAUAACUUACUUGAACAUAUAACUAACAUCAUAAUCCAUAAUACAUAUAUAGAAGCAUUCCAUCAAAACAUGUGAUAGGCAUAACUUGUACAUACAUGGGGAUUUCAUGGUAUUAUGCUAGUUAGGCACUUUUCCUUCAUCUAGGCAUUUAAUCAAACAUAUUGUAGGCAUGAUACAUGUAAACAUCAUUGUAAAAUAAUUAAACAUCAUGGUUCAAUUCUAAUUUCAUCAUUCAAGGAUUUAGUCAUAGGUUUGCAUAAAUCUAUAUCUAUAAUAAUUUAACCCACAUAGAAUUUAUCACCCAACAUGGAGUAGAAUUCAAUUUCUUAUUUAUCCACAUGAACAAGAACAGGCCAAUCAUGAAAUUCAUAAGAAAAUCUAUAAACUUGAAUUUAGAAAAGGGAUUUUUGAGCUUCGUGUAUGAAAGGAGUCCAUGAAUGAAUAAUUGCAUACCUUGGUUCGUAAAUACACGAAGAUUGACGGAGGAAAUUCUUGAUUCUAAAUCUUCUAUGUAAAGUCCUAGGUUGUUCUUGAGAGGUUUUUGAGAUAAGAGAGAGUAUUUUGGGAGAAAAAUGUCUGAAUCACGUGUUAAAGAGCUUAAAUAGGGGUGGGAAAUUGACCCUUUUAACCCUGUACGUGUCUUGUAAUUUCAGUAAAAAUUUUCUGAAUUGGACCCCUGGUGCGAUGCGGCGCUAUCGCUCCGUGUCACUGGAAUUUGACAAUUGGGAAACUGAAGGAUGGCGCGACACGGAGCCAUCGCGUUGCCCCUUCUUUUGCAACCUACAACUUUGGCGCGAUGCAAAGUAAAUCAUGCUUAGACACUGGAAAAGGACAAUUGCCAAAAUUUAAUAAGCCACUGACCAAUAUGGCGUUGUUUUACGAUGAAAACUUGAAAUAGUCAUUUCUUAUCCGGUUAUCAGAUUUAGUCAAAUUUUAUAGUGAUGGGAAGCUUAUUAAAUUUUUCACAUGACAAAAAGUGAAAAUAUUAAAAAUACCACAUUUAAAAAGAUGGAUUCAUCUUUCAAAGAAAUCUCCUAACAUUUUUUAGACAAUUUUAAGCUAGGAAAAGGUACGGGGUAUUACAAUAUCUCCACCUUAAGAACAUCCAUCCUCGAAUGAAACUAAGAGUGAGGGGAAGAACAUAAACUGACAUACAUACUGAACAUGAAUAACUAAAAUAUGAUCUCAUGACUUACAUGACUGAUAACUGAAUACAUUAUACUGGACACGCAUACCUGAUGCAUAUGUAACUGAUUCAUAAAUGCAUGAUUGAGUGUUCUGAGGAACUAAGUUUCUCACUAUGAGAAUGCAUGUCUGAUGCAAAAUUAUAUAACUGAACGGAUACAUGAAUGCAUGACUGAAUAUACAGUGGUACUUGAUACCAAGUUUGUGAUUAACACUGAACAUAAAACUGAGUAAGCUUAAGGAGGACUAUUACGUUGAGCUUGAUCUGAGUUGGUGGAGAAGAGGUGAGGAUACUUAGUAUGUAAGUCUGCUUCUGUUUCCCAAGUAGCUCCCUCGACAGACUAAUUUCUCUAAAGAACUUUAACUAGAGGGACUUCUUUGUUCCUCAGUCUGAUAGUCUAGGAUUUUGACUGGAAUCUCCUUAUAAGAGAGACUGUUCUGAACAUCAAUGCUCUGAAUAGGGACUAUAACUGUUGGGUUACCUAUGCACUUCUUGAUCAAAGAGACGUGGAAGACUAGAUGAACUGAGGCUAGAUCUGAUGGCAAUUCGAUCUCAUAAGCUACCUUGUCAAAUCGACUGAGAAUCUUGAAGGGACCGAUAUAUCGGCGACUGAGUUUUCCUUUCUUGCCGAACUGCUUCACUCCCUUCAUGGGAGAGAUCUUUAGAUAGACAUAGUCACCAAUCUUAAACUCAAGAUCUUUUUUACGAACAUCUGCAUAAGACUUGUGUCGGCUCUGAGCAGUCCGAAGUCUUUCUCUAAUCAAUUGGACUUUUUCUAAGGCAUUAAAUACUAAGUCAGGCCCUAUGAUUGAGGCCUCACUAACUUCAAACCAACCGAUCAAAGAUCUAUAUCUCCUACCAUAGAGAGCUUUGAAUGAGCCAUCCGAAUACUAGAACGAUAGUUGUUGUUGUAUGCAAACUCAAUCAAAGGCAAGUGGUCAUCCUAACUACCCUUGAAAUUAAUUGCACACACCCGUAGCAUAUCUUCUAAAGUUUGAAUGGUCCUUUCUACUUGACCAUCUUUAGAUGAAAAGUUGUACUGAGAUAAACUUAGGUACCAAGACCCUUUUGGAAUACUUUCCAGAAGUGAGAGGUGAACUGGGUACCUCUAUUUGAGAUAAUAGAUAAUGGAAUGCCGUGUAAUCUGACCAACUCCCUAAUAUAGAGUCUGGAAUAAUCCUCGGUUGAAUAAGAGGUAUGAACUGGAAGGAAAUGGGUUGAUUUGGUCAUCCUGUCUAUAAUGAGCCAAACUAAAUCAUGUUGAUGAUGAGUUCGAGGCAAACCUAUCACGAAGUCCAUGUUCACUUCUUCCCACUUCCAAGUAGAAAUAAUGAACUCUUGUACAGGACCACUAGGCUUCUGAUGCUCUAUCUUAACCUGAUGACAUGUAGAGCACUUAUCAAUAAACUCUACAAUAUCUCUCUUUAUCCCACUCCACCAAUAGAUUUCCCGCAAGUCGUGGUACAUCUUUGUGACCCCUGGAUGAAUAGAGUAGUGUGCACCGUGCGCUUCUGCAAGAAUUUGCUGCCUUAAGUCAUCUACACCUGGAACAUAGAGAUGACCCUGACAAUGCAAAAUACUAUCUCCUCCUUAGGAGAAAACCUCUACUUUCUGACCCUUGACUGACUCCAUAAACUUAACAAAGUUGGGAUCUCUAUCUUGCUUUUCUUUUACCUCGAAAACUAGAGAUGAUUCUGAACUACUCUGAACCCAUAUAUCACCCUCAUCUAUAUCGACUAAGCAAACGCCUAGUCUGGCAAGCUGAUGUAGUUUCUGAUCUAACUUCUUCUUACUGUCAUCCACAUGAGAAACACUACCCAUAGACAGUCUACUGAGAGCGUUGGCUACUACAUUGGCCUUGCCCGGAGAAUAGAAGACACUCAUGUCAUAAUCUUUCAAGAGCUCUAACCACCUUCUCUGACGAAGAUUGAGAUCUUUCUAAGAGUAAACUUAGUGAAGACUCUUAUGAUCUGUGAACAUAUCUACAUAAACACCGUAUAGAUAAUUCCUUUAAAUCUUCAAGGCAAAGACUAGGACUACUAACUCAAGAUCAUGAGUAGGAUAAUUCUUCUUAUGGGGUUUAAGCUGUCUGGAGACGUAGGCUAUGACCUUACCAUGAUACAUGAGGACACAACCUAAACCAACUCUGGAUGCAUCACAGUAUACUACGAACCCAUCUGGACCAUCUGGAAGAGCUAAAACUAGAGCUAAGGUGAGUUGAGUCUUCAACUCCUAAAAACUCUUCUCGCAAGGAUCUGACCACUGAAACUUGACUUUUUUCUGAGUCAAUCUAAACAUAGGGGAUGCAAUAGAAGAAAAUUCCUCAACAAACCAUCUGUCAUAGCCAGCCAAACUAAAGAAACUCUUGAUAUCUGAUAAAGAGACAGGGCAAGGCCAGUUUCUUACUGCUUUGGUCUUUUGAGGAUCUACUAUAAUGCCAUCACCCAAAAUUAUAUGACCAAGAAAUUCUACUGACCUUAGCCAAAAUUCACACUUACUAAAUUUGGCAAACAACUGAUGAUUUUUAAGAGUCUGAAGUACGUUCUGAGAUAGCCUGUAUGAUCUCACACACUACGGGAAUAGACUAAAAUAUCAUCUUUAAAGACUAUGAUGAACAUAUCCAAGUACCGUUUGAACACGUGGUUCAUCAAGUCCAUAAAAGCAGUUGGGGCAUUGGUAAGACCAAAUGACAUGACUAGGAAUUCAAAGUGACCAUACUGAGUAUAGAAAGCUAUUUUUGGAAUUUCACAUUCUCUGACUCUGAGCUGAUGAUAGCCGAAUCUGAGGUCUAUCUUAGAGAAAUAACUGGCACCCUGAAGUUGGUCAAAUAAGUCAUCGAUUCUGGGAAGUAGAUAUUUGUUCUUGACCAUGACCUUAUUAAGACUAGUGUACCCCUCGAGGAAACACUGGGCUCGAUGAAUCCCUUAUCUAGGAGAUCCUUCAACUAUUCUUUUAAUUCUCUGAGUUUUUCUGGAGCCAUUCUGUAUGGCGGAAUAGAGAUAGGCUGAGUAUCUAAAAGAAGAUCAAUGUCAAAGUCUAUUUCCAUUUCGAGAGGAAUUACUAGAAGAUCUUUGGGAAAGACAUCUGAAUAUUUAUUCAUAACUGGAAUGGAUUUAAGACUGGGAGUUUCAGAACUGUAAUCCUUAACAUGAACAAGAUGAUAGACAUAUCCCUUAGAUAUUAUUUUUCUUAUUCGAAGGUAGGAAAUAAGCUGACCUCUAAACGUUGAAGUACUACCCUUCCACUCAAGGAUGGGUUUAUUUGGGAACUAAAAUUGGACUAUUCUAUUUCUACAGUCAAAUAUGGCCUAGCAGGAGUGAAGCCAAUCCAUGUCGAGAAUGACAUCAAAAUCAGUCAUCUCUAAUUCGACUAAGUCUACUGAAGUGACUUUCUGAAAUAUCAUAACCGGGCAGUUCCUGUAUACCCGCCGGGCUAUGAUGGUUUUACCCAUUAGGGUAGAGACUGAAAAGGGAUCUUCUAGAAUUUUGGGACUGACUCUGAAAUCAACUGCUAUAUAGGGAGUAACAAAAGACAAGGAAGCACCUGGAUCUAGCAAAGCGUAAACAUGCACAUGAAAGAUCUGUAACAUACCAGUAACCACAUCAGGAGAAUUUUCUUGAUCUUGCUGGGACUGGAUAGCAUAGAUUCUAUUUGGGCGUUUUCCACUAGUAGCACUGAUAGUGGCACCCUGCUGAUUUGGGUGAUCAAAGUACUAAGCUUAGGAGCGGAGAUGACUCUGAUAACCUGACUGAGGGUAGUCUCUGACUCUGUGGCCUGGCUUGCCACAAAUAAAACAGACAUCACUGUCAUCUCUGCAUACACCCUUGUGGUUCUUACCAUAAGUCUGACAAAAGAGAUUAGUUCGGGCACUGCUAACACUGCCCUAAGACUUAGAGUCUAGUGCUCUAUCUUUGUUACCCUCUCUGAACUUAGGAAAUGGAACACUGGAUGAUGAAAGAGUUAGAACUGAUGACUUAGGAUGAAUCUGAGAGCGAUUUCCUCCCUCUAACUUAGGCUGACUAAAAUUAAAGCUACCUGUCCUAGCUCUCUUAUUUUGCUUCUCCUUCUACUUAAUCUUUUACUCCUCUAUCUUCUGAGCAUGAGUCAUGAGCCUGGCUAAAGUUAUGUCACUAUUUAAUAUGGUAGAUUUGCACUCAUUAACCACGCUAUCAUUCACCCCUAAAAUGAACUUACUCAUUUUGGCCCUGCUAUCUGCAACCAUAUGAGAGGCAUAUCUGUCUAAUUGAGUAAACUUAAGAGAAUACUCUUUCACUAUCAUAUUGUCCUGCCUAAGAUUGAUGAAUUCUAACACCUUAGCUUCUCUAAUCUCUAGGGGAAAGAAUCUAUCAAGGAAAGCAGAAGCAAACUCCUCUCACUCAACAGUCCCUACAUCAUCUGGCCUUUCUGACUUCCACUAUUUAAACCAAGUGUGAGCAACAUCCUGUAACUAAUAUGCAUCUAGCUCAACACUCUCACUAGAACUAACCCCCAUUAUGUCUAUAACCUUCUACACCUGAUCUAAGAAUUCCUGAGGUUCUUCAUUUAACUUAGACCAGAGAAACGAUAGAGGGUUCAUUCGGGUGAAGUCUUAAAUUCUGGCUGCAGCUGAAUUGGCCACUGGAUUGGUCGGAAUAACAGCUAGUCUUUCAUUCUAAGCAAAAACUAAGUUAGCAAGAGUAUUAAAUACAGCUUAAAACUCUGCAUGAGAAAUAUGUUCGCCCAAAGGUUCUUCGGGCUGAGGGUCUGGCUAAUUCUUAUUUCUUCUUUUAAGAGGCAUAUUCUGUAGAAGAAAGGAAAAAAUGGAUUAGACUGAGAGAUUGACUUGAGAUUAUGCUCACUAGCACAACAUAAAUACUGAAAGAGGGGAAACUACUCCUAAAACAUCUUAUAGCCUCCUGUACAUAAAUGUGACGCGCAACACACCCAUGUACGAAACUCUACUAGAUGCGGCUUUCAGAUUUCCUAGGACUCUAUUGAACUUUAGGCUCUGAUACUAAGUUUGUAAAGCCCCAAAUAUAGUACCCAGAAUGCUACACGGUGCUCAUGACCCCGAAGGACCACAAGCUAACCCAUGACUGAUAUUUGUAUCUGUAUACUGCAUAAAAUAUUUUAUAAUGCAGAAACAUAAAUUGAAAGGACAUAAGGUGACAUAGUAUCUGAUAAAAAUGUAACAUCAGGAAAAUGUAUGAAAUACCCAAAACAACUGAAAUAAGCUAUCUAAACAUACUAUAGUCUAGAAAGCCUCUAAAAUAUGACUGUCUGAAUAAGGAGUUGAUGGGGCAUAUCCCCAAAUAAUAAACUAAUUACUGAGAUAAUAAAAUGAUGAUUAUGUCCUCGAAAAAUGAGGACUUAUGGCUAACUCUGACAGCUGAGACUGGAAUCUACGGAUGCUCUGAAGCUCGUGUCUCUGAACCUAUGGUAUAAGACAUUAUAGCGCAAAUACGUUAGUACUUUGAAUGUACUGAUAUGCAUGUGAGGUAAGCUGAAUACGAGGGGUUCAUAUGCAUGAACAAUAAAAAUAGCAGACUGACUAUCAUGAGCGUGAGAAUACAUGCAUAAGGCAUAAUAACUGAUACUGAUACCGUGAUAACAUGAUUACUGAAUCUGAAUACUGAUAAUAUGACAUACUAAUAGCUGAUAUAACUGAUAACAUGAGUGGCUGUAUCUGACAGUCCUGAAUUUAAUGGAACUAGCUGAGUCCCAUACUGUAUCUGAGUUGACUGUAUCUGACAGUCCUAAAAUUUGAAGAACUAUCUGAGUUCUAUUAUUGAGGCUGAUUGACUAUGUCUGACAGUCCUGAUUCUGUAACAUAAAACUAUAAGAAGUAGUUAUCUAACCGACAUUCCCCUAAUAUGCCAUUAUGGAUAAGUUAAGGUCCAAUCUGUAACCCCAACUGAAAGGGUGUCAAUACCACACCACUAGUAAGGACAAGCUGUGGGUGACCCUCAUCAGAAUAAUGUCCCCAAAAAAGAACGGUGGGGCCCUUAUCUGAUAGUUCUUAUCUACCUCAUCAACUCUCAUCGAACAGUAUUGAUAUCUCAACCUAUGUUGGCUACAUAGUUCUGAAAUACAAGGAUGACUUCUAUGAAUCACACCCUCAUCUGAUAGUGUGUGUUCCCAUCCUUGGGUUCACUCGGUGCUAAUUCCUACUCCCAUUUGAAUAGACUCUGAACAUAAUUUACUGAACUGAUGGAAUACUACUGAUAUCUGAUAACUGACUGAGUUUAUGAGAUUAUGGAGAUUUCCUGAGUUAUAAGACUUCUUGAAGUUUAAGGAUUCAUAGCUUGACUGAGAGUAUCGUGAAAACAUGACAUGGCUCUAGGCACACAGUUAAUGUUUCAGGUACGAGUACCCCCAGGACCCAAUGGAAGAAAACUAACCAAGCAUAACUUACUUGAACCUAUAACUAACGUCAUAAUCCAUAAUACAUUUAUAGAAGUGUUUCAUCAAAACAUGUGAUAGGCAUAACUUGUACAUACAUGGGGAUUUCAUGGUAUUAUGCUAGUUAAGCAUUUUUCCUUCAUCUAGGCAUUUAAUCAAACAUAUUGUAGGCAUGGUACAUAUAAACAUCAUUGUACAAUAAUUAAACAUCAUGGUUCAAUUCUAAUUUCAUCAUUCAAGGGUUUAGUCAUAGGUUUGCAUAAAUCUAUAUCUAUAAUAAUUUAACCCACAUAGAAUUUAUCACCCAACAUGGAGUAGAAUUCAAUUUCUUAUUUAUCCACAUGAACAAGAGCAGCCCAAUCAUGAAAGUCAUAAGAAAAUCUAUAAACUUGAAUUUAGAAAAGGGAUUCUUGAGCUUCAUGGACAAAAGAAGUCUGUGAAUGAACACUAUGCAUACCUUGGUUCAUAAAUACACUAAGAUUGACGGAGGAAAUUCUUGAUUCUGAAUCUUCUAUGAAAAGUCCUAGGUUGUUCUUGAGAGGUUUUUGAUAGAAGAGAGAGUAUUUUAGGUGAAAAGUAACCGAAUCAUGUGUUAAAGGGCAUAAAUAGAGGUGGGAAAUUGACUUUUUUAACCUUGAACGUGUCUUGUAAUUUUAGUACAAAUUACUCGAAUUGGACCCUUGGCGCGACGCGGUGCUAUCGCACCGUGUCACUGGAAUUUGACAAUUGGGAAACUGAGGGAUGGAGUGACACGGAGCCAUAGCAUUGCCCCUUCUUUUGUAACCUGAAACUUUGGCGUGAUGCAGAGGAAAUCGCAUUGAGACACUGGAAAAGGACAAUUGUCAUCACUGAUCAAUAUGACGUUGUUUUACGACGGGAACUUAAAAUAGUCAUAACUUUUUACCCGGUUAUCAGAUUUAGGCGAAUUUUAUAUCGAUGGAAAGCUUAUUGAAUCUUUCACAUGACAAAAGUCUUUAAAAUACCACAUGUACAAAAGUAGAUUCAUCUUUCAAAGAAAGCUCCUAAUAUUUUUUAAACGAUUUCAAGCUAGGAAAAGGUACGGGGUAUUACAACACAUCUUAGAGGGCCAGUUCAAAUGAGGUGGAUGUAUCUAGAAGAGAGGUAAAUUUUUUUAAAUUAAUGCCACCAUUUUCUUAAAAAAAAAUUAUCUAUCUAAGAUAAAAUUAUGCAGGAAAAUUGGAGAGUUUAAACAAACUAUUAACCAAAGGGGGGAGAUUGAAGGAUCGAUUUGUGAAGCUUAUCUUGAAAAAUAAACUGCUUAUUUUUGUUCUUACUACUUUGGGGAUGAAGUUCCAUGUAAGAGAAAUAGGUCCAACUGUAAUGAUGAAGGUGAUGGUGAUCCUAUGUUUCCACCUGUAUUGAUUUCUAACAAUUCGGGUAGAGGAUCUAAAAGUUAUUAUAUGCGAGCCCUCACUGGUAUGGAAAGAAAAUCCAUUGUGACACAUGUUCUGCUCAAUUGUCUGAAGAUUCAACCAUUUCUUGAGUAAGUGUUAAUGAUGUUAGCAAAUUAUAUUAAUUUGGUAAGGCCACUACACUAAUAAAAAAUCUUAAUGAUGUAUACUUGAUAGUUUAUUCAUUAGAAAAUGGGGUAAUGAUGCCAUAUAUACGAGGUUUCUCGAUUGGCUGAAAGAAUAUGUAAUUAUGAAAGAUCAUAUGUGCAUUUUCUAGAAUUAUAUAUAGGUCAUUUAAUAAACUUUAUAUUUUGAUUUAACGAUAUGUAGGUUUUGGAUGAACAUAGUACUGUCGUACAUUUACCAUUGGUGAGAGAUAUUAUAUUUGGUCCUGCCACUCAAAUUCGGACAAUGGAUAAAUAUUGUGUGAACGGUUUCAGGUUUUAAAUUGAGAACGUUUCUAAGUAUAAGAAAACUAAUAACAACGGCGUGUGUGUUGAAGGUGAUGUCGACGGUAAUGGUCAAAUCGUUGAAUAUUUUGGUGUCAUACAAGGGAUAUUAGAAGUAAGGUACCCUGGUUGGCCAAAAAAAGAAAAUUUUAUUUCGGUGCAAGUGAUUUGAUCCAUCAUAUAGAGGUACCAGGGUGAAUCAACAGCAUAAUAUAAUUGAAGUUAAGUACACAAGGCAAUAUAAUCGCUAUGACCCCUUUAUCAUUGUACAAAAUGCCAGGCAGGUAUAUUAUGCUACAUAUCCAUUACGCAGCGAUAAAGUGAAUUGGUGGGUGGUUGUAAACACUAAGCCUAUGGGAAGAAUUAAGAUUGAGAAUGUGUCAAAUUUGGCAUACUAGAAUAAAGUCGCAGUUGUUGAUCAAAUUGUGGAUAAUGAGGUCAAAAAUAAUCUAGAACAUCCUCAACGCAUAUUAGAAGAAGUUUAUGUUGAGGAGAUCAUUGACAUCACAAAUAUGCAGAAGAAAAAGACGAGUAAAAUGAAUCAUUUCGGGAGGAUGAAUGGGACCAUAAAAAUAAAAUAAUGGAUGAGGAAGAAUGGGAGAAUGAUUGAAAUGAAACAAGUAAUGAGGAAGACUGAGAGAAUAUAGAUAAGCUUGUUAGAUUAGUUUUUCAUUGUUCUCAUUCUUUCAGUUUCGUAUUUGUAAUCUAUUUUUAUGGCGGUAUAUGUUGAUGAGCCAGAUUACAGCGUGCUGGAUGUGAUUAUAUUUGUACGAGUAGAUAUUGAUUAGUGUUUGAUUUAUCUCAUUAGUAUUGGCGCACUAAAGACAUAAUUAAUUAAGUACUAAUUCCUAGAAACAACUGUAACCUAGGGUUUUAUGUGCUCUUUUAUAAGUUUCUUACAACAAGACUGAGGACUACACUUUUGGAUUGUGUUGAGUGUAACCACCAGUUGGAAACUUUGUGGUCGAUUUAUAUAUGUGGCUCCUAUACAUGAUUAUCUGCAAAACUUUGGGUGUUUGUGUUAUGAGGCUAAUUGAAUGUUGUAAGAGAAACCUGAACUGUUUAUAAUUUGAAAUUUAAUGUUUUAUUCAAUUAAUAGCUGAAUAGAAUUUAUAGUCAAAUUCAUAUAGAAAUUGAUAUUUCUAGUUUCAAGUCAAGUUAGAUUUUCCUACAGCUAUAAAUUAGGAUGGUGCUAGCUAUUUUUUAUGUAAUGGAAAAUUGUGGAGAUCAUUAGGAGAUUUAUGAGAUUCUGAGUAAAAUUAUUUAGAGCCUUGAUCUGACGUUUCAUAUUCUGUGCUUUGAUCGUACUUUUUAGGUGAUGUGUUUGAAUUUGCUUUUCUAAUAGAGAUGGCAGUUUAUUGAGUGACUAGUUUAGGCAUUUGUUGUAUUUUCUCUUUUUUCUAGGUUCUAGCCUGCUAUAGUUGAUAAACCAAUAUGCCUAGUAAUUAUCUUUUUAGACUAGCUGGUGCAUUAAGGCAGGGAAUUCAGAAAUUCAUUUUUGGGCAAGAAAGGGGUCUACGGGAUCUGGUGGGGAUUGAGCUCAAAAAAUACUCUUCUCAUUGACAAUUUUCAAUUGGUCUGUGGAAUAUUAUCCCUUUAUUAUUUGUUAGAUAGAAGAUGAAAACGUACAAUGCCUUUAGAAGUAUAGUAUGAAAUGAAAUGGGAAGAAGUAAAAGGUGUUUAGGUUUUGUAGUUCUCUCUCUGCAUUCUAAUAUGCACAUGUAUAUAUUUAUGUGAAAAUUAUAUUAAACUAAGAACAUAUCUACUGAAGGGCGGCAAAACCAUGUGAGUCUUUCUGUUACUACCAUAUUGUGUUACCUUUAUUUUUCUUGUGUUUUUACUGUACCAAUAAAAUUAUGUUUUAAGGUUCUCAAGAUUUUGUAUAAAAGACAAGACUUACCACAUGUUUGCAUACAGAUGACAUCCGAUGGUAGUGGUGAUUGGCAUGGUCCUGAUAAGAAUUCGAAGCCAACUACUAAAAAGAAAUUUAGGAUGCCAAUAAAUCCUGAUGAUAUAUUUGGUCGACUUUCUUCACAGACACAGAUGAACACCUCUUCAUCAGGGAAAUCUUACGUCCCAUUUGGCACUAGUAAUCCUGUAGAUUAUUAUGGUCUCAGAAAGCAGUGAAAAGUGUGCACUUCUUAUGCUCCACAUACUUUUAGGACUUCUACAGAUAUAAGGACUUCGAGGUUAUCAUCUGGUACUCCAUCCCCUCUCGAUUCAUCCCCCCACCUCUCAGGAUUGCGACUGAGAGACAACUCUGACUCCGAUGUGCAGACAUCUACUCCCCCAUUUAGUGAACCUUGGGUACUUCCGAGAGUAGCAUCUGCAUCUGGAUCUGCACCUCCACCUCCACCUGUAGCAGAUGAUACUAAUGUAUAUUUGAUUGGUCUAGUUCUUGGAGAUAAGGACGGGCUUGGUAGAGUCUUCAUCGAGCCUGAUAGAUCUACGUAAUUUUUUUUUUAUUCAUAAAUUUAUUUUUUAUUGAUAAAAUAUUCAUGCUUACAUAUUUAUUUUGUUUUUUACAGGUGGCAUCCCGCAUUAAAAGAAGUUAAUAAGGCGGUAAGGGAGAGCGUUAGGAGGAUUUUUUAAAAAUCUUGGCACAGUUGGUCGGAGAUUUCAGAAGACCAUAAACAAGCAAUGUUUGAAGAGUUCAAGGC
rnacentral:lncRNA from 1 species